ACCAAUAAAACCAAUAAACCCAACCCAAUUAACAGGGCUACCCGCACGCCGUCUCCUCGCCGCGCGCCCCGGCCUCGGCUCGCGCUCAUGAGGGGACCCAUCUCCUCAACCAGCCCCACUCACAUUCGACCAACGCCGCGGUAUGCUAGGUCGCGUCCGCCGCAUCAAAUUGCUGCUCCAGCCGACCGUUCGACCCCCACAGGUUGUAGGAAAGAAACCGGUGGAAACCAACAUUUUUAUUGAUCAAGGUGGUGAGUACCGGUGGCACUGGAGGACAAAUAUCAGCCAUGGCUUCCUACCAACCUGCUCCUAGGAGCCAAGGUCCCAUCCAUCCCCUAACAAGAAAAUUGCUAAGAAGCUAUUUACUGGUGAAGAAACUGGAGAUGGCAGUGGUGGCAGUGGCAGUGGUGCAGCCACCUCUGAUCAGAACAGUCCAAGCAAAGGAUGCAUGAGCAGUGAAGCUCAUGUUGAUUUUGUCUCUUACCAGUUGCGGCCGACUUUUGUGUGCCCCUUGUCUCCGGUGAGAAGAGUCUGAUGCAUGGGAUCCAGACAUGGGAUCCAGAGUCUGCAUCGACCUCUGCCUGCAAACUGUGUAGCAUGGUGAUUAGCUUUUGCUUUCAGUUAGUAUUCAAAGCUACCAGCUAGGUUGUUUGGUAGCCAUGCCUACUUGCUGCAUGUAGAUUUAUGGUGGUCGGAUGUGCUAUAAUAUUGAUGCUCCAAAUGCCAGACACCUAAUGGAUAUGAUAUAUUGGUGCUCGGAUGUAGCCAUGGUGCUCGGAUGUAGCCAUGGUGUUCGGAUGUGCUGUAAUAUUGAUGAUUGAGAUGCUGGACAGACACCUUAGGGAUAGGAUAGUCUGGUGCUCAAAUGUGCGGUAAUAUUCAUGAUUCAAAUGUUGGACAGACACCUAUGUUAGCAUGUUGAUGAUGUGCUUGGUAC